rnacentral:sRNA from 1 species
UUUUAAAAUGUAACUCUUCCACUUUGGUAUUUAUUUUACUAAAACUAAGUUUCACUACUUUCAAACUUUUCAACUUCUUUCAUUUCUUCAAAGGUCUCCCACUUAAUCUGUUGUCAUUUCUAAAUAGAAAAAUAUAAAUUGACUUUGUAAAAUUACAUCCAAUAGAUACUCAAAUUUUAAAACAAAGAGACCUUUCAUCUUAUAUCGCAACAAUUAAUUAAUAUGACCUUUGUUACACCACUUCCACACACAUUUUGAAAAAAAUUGAUUUUCCCCAUUUUACCCAAUAUUUAACAAGUUCAUACUAGAGUUUACACGUUAGAGCUUUAUGUUUUAUAUAUGUAGUGAUCUGUAACACUAAUUUACAUUCACAACAUGAUUACUUGACUUCACAGACAUGAAAGCUUUUAUCAUUUAAUCUGAAAAUGAGAUGAUUUUCCACAUUUGUUUCAUUUUUCACAUUUGAAGUUGUACAAAACGUUUGUUUCUCCUAAAAACACUUGUGUCAUCCAGACUAAAAAAGGCUUUUCAUGAGUUUAAGAAUGAAUUUAAAAUUCAUAAGCGAAUAAAAGUAACUUCUAGUGGUAACAUCUUAUCAGUUGGUGUAUCGUAGCACAAUAUCCUUUGUUCAAGAUUCGACAUUGUCUUUAGGAAGUGUUUCACCUGCUUCUCUAUGUCUUCGUCGUCAUAAGAUCACCAAAGAGUAUUUCCUUCCCCCCCCCCUCCAACGUUUGCAUAAACACCCAUCCUCGUUGCACAUUGUUUAGUACGUAUAUUCGUUAUGCAGAUAAAAAGAGACUAUUUCAAAAUUUAUUUAUGUGUAAAAGCAAAUCAAUUGUUAAUGUGAAUAAUGUGUAUGCUACUUUAAAGACGAGAGUUUCUAGAUUGGAUAAUUGUUGAGUAGAUAUGGUAGAUUUCUACUCUACACAUGAUACAAUAAUUAACAGUAUCAGGUAGUUGAAUACAUAUAUUGUUUCACUACUGUCAUUAAGCACUUGAAAUUAAAACCGAGUUAGCUAUAUAUAUCAUAACUAACUAAUUUUCAAUUGUUAACUUUUGUCAAAAAAGAUGGGACUGACCUUAAAAUUGUCACAAGAGAAGUAGAGGAUAUUAACAUUCCAUAUUCCCAUGAGAAAGUUUUUCAAAAUAUUUUUGUCUUUGAGUUUUAAAGUAAGUUCUUCUUAACAUGUUAUAUGUAUAAUAUGAUCAUGUGUCGUUUAAAGUUCGAGACUAAAUUCAACAAACGAAUCAAAACUUGCUUGUUGAUACUCAUCACCCAUAUUAUCAAAAUAUUCUAUGUAUACCAUAUUUGGAUUAUCGACAGUGACACAUUCUCAUUAGCCUCAUUAACAUCUUGAACCUUAUAAAAAA